AAAUAACUGUAAUUAAAGACUAAGCCGUGUGGGCAUCAUAGAGUUGGAUCUCCUUUAGAGAUUGCUGAGUUUUGAUUAGAUUGUUUCACUCUUCACAGUUUGUCAUUAUUGAUGCCUUUGCACUUCUAUCUGCUUUCUGGGGUCAUUUGUACUUAAUCUUGUGAGAUAAAGAAAUAUUAAUCCUGAUUAUGUUUUCUCUCUUCCUUUUGUAUUUUCUGUUGAUAUAUAUGUAUAUCUGUGUAUAUGUUAUGCUGUUUUAACUAUCAUUGUCUUCAAAUUUGUCUUCUGGAUUCAGGUUACCAUUCAAUAUAAUUUCCUUCCCCCAAUAAAACUUAGCUCCCACCCACCUCCUUCACUGAGGAGUUGUCAAAUAUAUUACAUUUUUGUUACAGGUCCAACAAUCUUAUUACGUGCAAGUCUUACACAGCUGCUUCUUAACUGUGAAGGAAGAAAUAAGUCGUUUAUGUUUAUUUUGUACUCACAUGGUUACCUUUAUUGGUGUUCAUUUUUAAAAGUCAUCGUUCUGAUGAAUGUAAUUAUGCUUUUAGUCUGAAGUUUUCCUUAAGGACUUCCUAUAAAGGAUGUCUCCAGCAGGGAAUUCUCUUCAGUUUCCUUUACUUGACUAUAUUUUAUUUCCUUCUCAUUUCCUUUGUUGUAUCUGAUGAGAAUGUAGCUCAAUGUGAUUCUUUGAACAUUGUAGAUCAGUGUUUUCUUGGUGCUUUCAUUUUUUUCUUUUCUCUUUGUAUACCUUCACCAUGUAUCCAGAUGUGCCUCUCUGAGUUUUAUGAGUAUCUUGAAUUUGUAGUAUUUCUUAACAAACCUGUUGAAAACAUUACUUGAAGAAAUAAUUGAGCAUUUUUAAAUGCCACAAGUUCUUACUUUUCUUUACUGGUCUUUUUAAUAAAUGAUUUUUAUCUGUC
rnacentral:lncRNA from 1 species